rnacentral:rRNA from 1 species
AUGCAUGUGGCUGCCCCGGGGCGCAUCAUUUUGGUCAAAGUGGUUCUCACAGCCAUAGCAAUCUAUUGCCUAACACCCCUGGAUAUCCCAGUUGGCGUGCGGAAGAAGAUCGAUAGCCUGAGACGUGCAUACCUUUGGGCAGGCUGCGAAAAGGUGUCUGGAGGCAAAUGUAAGGUUCACUGGAACCUAGUUUGCAAACCCAAGAUUUUUGGUGGCCUGGGCGUUCUAAACCUCAAAAAAUUUGCCACCGCCCUUCGGCUUCGAUGGCUUUGGUUCGAGUGGGCUGACCCACCUAAGACUUGGGCCGGAAUGGAGACGCCAUGUAGCAACGCUGAUAGAGAUCUCUUCACGGCGUUCACGACUGUGACCAUUGGGGAUGGUAAAAAGGCAAAAUUCUGGGAAUCAUCAUGGCUUAAUGGCCUUCGACCAAAAGAUGUGGCACCGAAGAUCUUUGAGAUAUCUAAAAGGAAGGCGCGUUUGGUCAGCAAAACGCUUGAUAACAACUCCUGGAUCAGCCAGAUUGACACCUCUCAGGGCCUCUCUCUAGACCACAUCCAGGAGUUCGCCACUCUCUAG